GAUGAAGAACGCGGCGAAAUGCGAUAAGUAAUGUGAAUUGCAGAAUUCAGUGAAUCAUCGAAUCUUUGAACGCACAUUGCGCCCGCCAGUAUUCUGGCGGGCAUGCCUGUCUGAGCGUCAUUUCAACCCUCAUGCCCCUAGGGCGUGGUGUUGGGGAUCGGCCAAAGCCCGCGAGGGACGGCCGGCCCCUAAAUCUAGUGGCGGACCCGUCGUGGCCUCCUCUGCGAAGUAGUGAUAUUCCGCAUCGGAGAGCGAUGAGCCCCUGCCGUUAAAUCCCCAACUUUCCAAGGUUGACCUCAGAUCAGGUAGGAAUACCCGCUGAACUUAAGCAUAUCAAUAAGCGGAGGA
rnacentral:misc_RNA from 1 species